CCCAGCUCCCCCAGUACACUGAGAGGCCAGCAGCAGGACCCCGGCACCACACCUCUCUAAGACAGGUACAAGGACUGAAGUCACCAAGCAAGUUAAAGCGCUUGCCUCAGGCCUGAACCCACUCAGGGGACCCCAGGCCACCAGGAAGUUGUUUCAUCUCUGACAGGAGAGCAAAUGACAAUGGGACAGAAGCAAGCUGUCACAGAUAGGUGUCAACAUCACAGCAGCCAACUGAACAGGUCUGCAAUGGCAGGACCUAGGCAUUUGGGCUUGGCAGCCACCAGCUCAAUGCCAAGCACACUCAGUCUCCACACACUUCUGAACCUAUUAUAUCCCAAGAAUGGUGCUGAGAGUCCACCUGGCCCCUCCCUGACACACUAAGGAUUCAACCAAGACCAGAGAUUGGGGUCAGGAGCCCAGAAGAGGACCAGUCAGAUCAAGAACAAAUCCCUGGCCUUACCGUCCGGAACAAGAACAAAGACCUGAAUGCCAAGUCUCCGUCUGUGCUCCAGGCUGGCCUUGACCUUGUAAUCCUCCUAGCCUUCUGACGUUUAGAUAAUUUCCAUCGUGCCACCUGAGAGACAGAUGUGUCCAGGCCAGAGGAAGAAAAACUCAUCUGCUGCCCAACAGCAACUUCAAGGCCAAGGCAGGGACUGGGGGGGGGGGGGGGGGACAGGCAAUUCUAAGUAAACUUGUGGAUUCCAAAACUUAA